rnacentral:rRNA from 1 species
AAUGAACGCUGGCGGCAUGCCUAACACAUGCAAGUCGAGCGGCCGCUCGGGGUUCGGGCUGGCGGGGGGUUACCGACGGGGGAGUAAUACAUCUGUACGUAACCGCCUCUGGAGACUGGGACGACUACAGCCGACGUAAUAUCGCAUACGACCUUAUCGUGAAAGGGUUGGAUCUUCGGAGCUCGCGCGAUUGGAGGGGCCGAUGUCAGACUAGCUAGCUGGUGUGGUAAGGGCAUACCAAGGCGACGAUCUGUAGGGGGUCUGAGAGGCCGACCAGCCACACUGGGACUGAGACACGGCCCAGACUCCUACGGGAGGCCGCAGUGGGGAAUCUUGCGCAAUGGGCGAAAGCGUGAUCCAGCAAUGCCGCGUGAGUGAUGAAGGCCUUCGGGUUGUAAAGCGCUUUUGGCGGGAACGAAGAAAAGUGUGCCAAUCUGAGGAUUUGAUGACGGUACCAGCAGAAUAAGCCCCGGCUAACUACGUG